CUGGGCGUAAAGAGCUCGUAGGUGGUUUGUCGCGUUGUUCGUGAAAUCUCACGGCUUAACUGUGAGCGUGCGGGCGAUACGGGCAGACUUGAGUACUGCAGGGGAGACUGGAAUCCCUGGUGUAGCGGUGGAAUGCGCAGAUAUCAGGAGGAACACCGGUGGCGAAGGCGGGUCUCUGGGCAGUAACUGACGCUGAGGAGCGAAAGCGUGGGGAGCGAACAGGAUUAGAUACCCUGGUAGUCCACGCCGUAAACGGUGGGUACUAGGUGUGGGUUUCCUUCCUUGGGAUCCGUGCCGUAGCUAACGCAUUAAGUACCCCGCCUGGGGAGUACGGCCGCAAGGCUAAAACUCAAAGAAAUUGACGGGGGCCCGCACAAGCGGCGGAGCAUGUGGAUUAAUUCGAUGCAACGCGAAGAACCUUACCUGGGUUUGACAUGCACAGGACGCCGGCAGAGAUGUCGGUUCCCUUGUGGCCUGUGUGCAGGUGGUGCAUGGCUGUCGUCAGCUUCGUGUCGUGAGAUGUUGGCGUUAAGUCCGCGCAACCGAGCGCAACCCCUUGUCUCAUCGUUGCCAGUCGGGUAAUGCUCGGGGACUCGUGUGAGACUGUCCGGGGUCAACUCGGAGGAAGGUGGGGAUGACGUCAAGUCAUCAUGCCCCUUAUGUCCAGGGCUUCACACAUGCUACAAUGGCCGGUACAAAGGGCUGCGAUGCCGCGAGGUUAAGCGAAUCCUUUUAAAGCCGGUCUCAGUUCGGAUCGGGGUCUGCAACUCGACCCCGUGAAGUCGGAGUCGCUAGUAAUCG
rnacentral:rRNA from 1 species